GAUCCCUACUUUGGAGUUUUACAGUGCGCCUAGGACAAGGCUCAUGCCUAUCAUCACUGUUUCACUGAUUCCUGCAUCACAGUCUCCAGAGCUUAGGGAAGGAUGGCUGCCAAGGGGAGCCUUAAUUGCAGAAGAAUGCUUCUUGUUUUUGAUGCAGCGGAGUCCAACCUGCCUGACAGAACCCUUAUCCAUUCUGGCAGAAUUCUCUGAAGACUUGAAGAUGAUGGAAUAAAUAUUUAGAACAGAGCUAUAGAAUGUCACUUCAGAUACUUUUUGCAAGACACUGUCCUGAAUGUUCAGUUUACUGCUCCUACUUUCUUAUACAAAUAUUGCAUUUUUAGCUGGUGUACCUCUGUAAUAUAAAUUCUAUAUUUCUUAUAUUCUGCUUUAUGUGACUUUUUUCCUUGGAAUCCUUAGUAUCUCAUCAAAAUCAUUAUUUUUUUAGUCAUUAUUUUCAUAUCGCUGUGAUGUCUCCUCAGGGAAGCAGAUGCCUGUCAAAUGUUAACUUUUCUAAGGCGUGUUUCAGUAAUAUUGCAGCCAUUAAUUUUUAAAGCAGAACAAUAGUGCUUAAUCUCAGUAUUUUCUGCUUUAUAAGCACAACAGUUCAUCUAAGAUUUCUGCUUCUUCAUCUGUAGUUUUGAGCUACUGUGGUAUUACAGAAGGAGGUCCGAAAUGGCCUGGUUAUAAGCCUACAGUAAGGUAGGAUAUAUAUAUAUAAGUGGAAAAUAAUCCUUUAAACUCUUUCAUUAAUUUUUAACUUUUUUUCCUAGAAGACUGGAGGAAUGAUUUUGAAUGUGCAGACUUUGAAACUAGGCGAAUUUUAAUAAGAAUAUUCAAUAUUCUUCCUGCUUUUAAAUUUUGCAGUUCUGAGACAGUGCUACUAUCCUGAGCACUAAGAAAACCACAGAAAUUUCUCUGGAAAAGGAGGUAUUGAAUAUUGUUUAAAAAAAUCUAAAUUCUAAAUGAUAAAUGUGCUAGCUGGAAAUAAAUCAUAAUUGAAAUACUGGUAUUGAGUAAUUUGGUCUUAUUAGAAGCAAAGAGGGAACAGUGGUUAUGAUUUCUCACUGUUUCUGGUGGCUAGCAACAUUAUAAAUAGGUUCUUGAGACAGUAGAUGAAACAAUUUAUUGUGGAAUCUCCCUAAACUGUGUUUGAGCCAACAACUCCAAAUAAUUUAACACAGUAUCUCACAAGGGUGCAAAACUGAUUAACUGAUCUUUGCGCAUUAGUCUAAAAGACUUGAAUGAAAAAAGAACAUGGCGUUACCUAGAAGCCUAUAUUUGAUAUUGACUGUUGUCUUUAAAAAAAAAAAAAAAUCAGCUUCAUUUUCAAAGUGCUUUGUUAACGAGGACUCACUUUUAUAUACCAAAUGGAUGAGUAGGAUGUGUAGAAAUAGAUGUAUACACCAAAAUGUUAGAUUUAUGUAGGAAGAUCAAUUGUAUUUACAUACCUUGAAAAUUUUCCCACUAUCUAUAUAACUUGCUUAGAGAACACAGUGAGGAAUGUGUCAAAACAACACAACUUCACUGUUAUACAAGUUGGAAGGUUGGAUUGAUAAAGAGAUACUGUCCCUUCCAAUAGCAAUGGAAGUUUUAAUCCCCGUUGUUCUACUACUUUCAAGGGAGCAAGUGAAAACAUUUAGGACCUUCCCCUGUUACAUAGUUAUACUGCUCCUGUUAUUAAGGCAGGAGUCACCAGCCAGUAGCCCUUCAUCUUUCAUACCAGCACCCAGUUCAAGACCAUCUCUAUUACUCCAGCCUGGAAAGAAGGAGCCUGUAACUGAAAAGGCAAACUUAGCAUUUAUUUUGUAGUAAUACCAUUUCACUGACAUUCUCCUCAAAGUGAAUUUGAACAUUAUGGCAAAACUUAUCUCGCCAAUAAGUGCAUGAAAGGAAGUAAAUCCCUCUCAUGAGCAGGCCCCUCAAGCUAAGUCAUUUAUUUAUUGAGCCUGGCCUUCUAUUGUGUUGCAACAACUGCUUUUAGUCCCAAAUAUUGCAUUUCUAUGAAGUACCUGGGAGAUGCUUGUGAUUUAUGUCAGGAGAGGAGAUACACAGUGUUGGCCAAUGAACUGAUCUUGUUAGUCUUGCACCUAAUUUUUCAUUGCUGUGGUUUUUUUUUUUUCUUCCAAUGGUAAAAGCCACAGACUGUGAUCCAAAUAAUUUUACUCAGCAGAGUAAAUUCAUUAGGUUUAAGAUGAUGUUUAAAGACUAUAAAUUUGGUUCAGAAAUUUGUUGGAAACAAAAUGCAGCACUUUUAGUUAGUUAAAAAAGAAUGUGAAUGGAGACCUGGCAGGCAUAUAUGUUGUUUAGGAUACCCUUUCAAGAUUUAAAAAAAAAAAACUCUUUAAGCUUCUGAAUCACACAGG